rnacentral:tRNA from 1 species
AAGUUCCCACUUGGAUCUGUCCAAGGUCUAUGGCCUGAAAAACCAUCGUUGUACACCUCAACUAUAGGAAC